CUACAGAACUUCUCUUGCAGGCCUCCCCCAGAGGAAGCACUGCUGUGGUCAGAAGGAUUCGAGGAGCUGCUGGCCAGCAAAUAUGCAUUAGCAGGAAGCUGGAUGGGAAAUGUAGCACCUGAGACUCAAGAUGGUGAUCAUAUGGGAUGCCAGCAUCACUGGUACACUAACAGGAAGCUGGAUUAGAAGUGGAGCAGCUGGGACUCCAACUGUACUCUGAUGUGAAAUGCCAACAUCACAUGGUUAACCUACUGCAAUUAACAGUAAAACUUGUCUUCAAACAGUACUUUAUACUUUCUGUGUCUGUGUGGGUGCAAACUGUUGAAGUAUUUUCUUAGUAUAGAGUUGAGCUCUGUAUAUAAAGAUAAUUAAAAAUGAAUA